GGCCCCGUAGCCUAGCCUGGAUAAGGCGACAGAAAAUAAUUAAAUUUAUUUUUCGCUAGAGCCUUCUAAGCUUUUGCUAAGAAGAAGCCAGGAAAGCUGUAGACCGAGGGUUCAAAUCCCUCCGGGGCCA
rnacentral:tRNA from 1 species